rnacentral:rRNA from 1 species
AUUGAACGCUGGCGGCAGGCCUAACACAUGCAAGUCGAACGAGUGGCGGACGGGUGAGUAAUGUCUGGGAAACUGCCUGAUGGAGGGGGCUAACUACUGGAAACGGUAGCUAAUACCGCAUACCAUCAGAUGUGCCCAGAUGGGUUUUGCUUGUUGUUUGGGUAACGGCUCACCAAGGCGACGAUCCCUAGCUGGUCUGAGAGGAUGACCAGCCACACUGGAACUGAGACACGGUCCAGACUCCUACGGGAGGCAGCAGUGGGGAAUAUGGCACAAGGGGCGCAAGCCUGAUGCAGCCAUGCCGCGUGUAUGAAGAAGGCCUUCGGGUUGUAAAGUACUUUCAGCGGGGAGGCGGUAGAGGGAGAAGAAGCACCGGCUAACUCCGUGCCAGCAGCCGCGGUAAUUG